rnacentral:rRNA from 1 species
UACGUAGGGUGCGAGCGUUGUCCGGAAUUAUUGGGCGUAAAGGGCUCGUAGGCGGUUUGUCGCGUCGGGAGUGAAAUCCACUGGCUUAACUGGUGGCUUGCUUUCGAUACGGGCAGACUGGAGGUAUGCAGGGGGGAACGGAAUUCCUGGUGUAGCGGUGAAAUGCGCAGAUAUCAGGAGGAACACCGGUGGCGAAGGCGGUUCUCUGGGCAUGUCCUGACGCUGAGGAGCGAAAGUGUGGGGAGCGAACAGG